rnacentral:rRNA from 1 species
GGGCCCGCACAAGCGGUGGAGCAUGUGGUUUAAUUCGAUGAUACGCGAGGAACCUUACCAGGGUUUAAAUGCAGAACGACAGGGGUGGAAACACCCCCUUCUUCGGACGGACUGCAAGGUGCUGCAUGGUUGUCGUCAGCUCGUGCUGUGAAGUGUCGGGUUAAGUCCCAUAACGAGCGCAACCCCCAUUUCUAGUUGCCAGCGGUUCGGCCGGGGACUCUAGAGAAACUGCCAGCGUAAGCUGUGAGGAAGGUGGGGAUGACGUCAAAUCAUCACGGCCCUUACAUCCUGGGCCACACACGUGCUACAAUGGUAGGGACAACAGGUUGCCAACCCGCGAGGGUGAGCCAAUCCCAAAACCCUAUCUCAGUUCGGAUUGUCGUCUGCAACUCGACGGCAUGAAGUCGGAAUCGCUAGUAA